rnacentral:rRNA from 1 species
GAUGAACGCUAGCGGCAGGCCUAACACAUGCAAGUCGAGGGGUAGUUACUUUCGGGUAAUGAGACCGGCGCACGGGUGCGUAACGCGUAUGCAAUCUACCUUUUACAGGGGAAUAGCCCAGAGAAAUUUGGAUUAAUGCCCCAUAGUAUAUAUGAAUCGCAUGGUUUAUAUAUUAAAGUUCCAACGGUAAAAGAUGAGCAUGCGUCCCAUUAGUUAGUUGGUAAGGUAACGGCUUACCAAGACUAUGAUGGGUAGGGGUCCUGAGAGGGAGAUCCCCCACACUGGUACUGAGACACGGACCAGACUCCUACGGGAGGCAGCAGUGAGGAAUAUUGGACAAUGGGCGCAAGCCUGAUCCAGCCAUGCCGCGUGCAGGAAGAAGCAUCUAUGGUGUGUAAACUGCUUUUGUACAGGAAGAAACACUCCCUCGUGAGGGAGCUUGACGGUACUGUAAGAAUAAGGAUCGGCUAACUCCGUGCCAGCAGCCGCGGUAAUACGGAGGAUCCAAGCGUUAUCCGGAAUCAUUGGGUUUAAAGGGUCCGUAGGCGGUUUGAUAAGUCAGUGGUGAAAGCCCAUCGCUCAACGAUGGAACGGCCAUUGAUACUGUCAGACUUGAAUUACUAGGAAGUAACUAGAAUAUGUAGUGUAGCGGUGAAAUGCUUAGAUAUUACAUGGAAUACCAAUUGCGAAGGCAGGUUACUACUAGUGGAUUGACGCUGAUGGACGAAAGCGUGGGGAGCGAACAGGAUUAGAUACCCUGGUAGUCCACGCCGUAAACGAUGGAUACUAGCUGUUGGGUGCAAACUCAGUGGCUAAGCGAAAGUGAUAAGUAUCCCACCUGGGGAGUACGUUCGCAAGAUUG